rnacentral:lncRNA from 1 species
AAGUAAUUUGGGGAAAUUACACAGUGAGAACCAAACCAGGCUCCCUUCCCACUCAUUUAUUUUCCACCAACAUGUCAAGAAUAAAUCCAACAAGCAACACACAAGCAUCCUAGCGAUGCACAAACAACUAGCAAGCAAUGAUGUCUCCAACCCGCCUAUCACACAAGGCCACACCUCCUAGUCACACAGCUUCACAAUAUUCAGUUCCUCUGUAACACCCCGGUCAUGGGUUCCAAAGGAAACCAGACUAAACCGGCAGUAUUAUCUAACCUAACCAAUAAUUCCUGAAUAAUCCUUAAAUCUUAUUCCAAAUCAAAUCAAAUCCAGUCUUACAAUAGAAAUGAAUAACUUGAAUAAAUUCGAAAAUAAUCAGAAAACAAUAUCUUAAAAAGAAAAUACAAAAAAAAGUUCUUAAAGCGAUAAAAAUCUUCCUCCAUCUCUAAAAGCACACCACACUAGAGCUACUUGUCUAGUUCCUCCCAGACAUCAUCACAAUCACAUUCAUCAUACUCACCUGAAAGACAGAUUUAAAAGAGAGGGGUGAGUAAUUUGGGGAAAUUACUCAGUGAGAACCAAACAAGGCUCCCUUCCCACUCAUUUAUUUUCCACCAACAUGUCAAGAAUAAAUCCAACAAGCAACACACAAGCAUCCUAGCGAUGCACAAACAACUAGCAAGCAAUGAUGUCUCCAACCCGCCUAUCACACAAGGCCACACCUCCUAGUCACACAGCUUCACAAUAUUCAGUCCCUCUGUAAUGCCUCCGGUCCCGGGUUGCAAAGGAAACCAAACUUAACCGGCAGUAUGAUCUAACUUAACCAAUAAUCCUGAAUAAUCCUUAAAUCUGAUAACAAAUCAAGCAAAAUCCGUUGUAACAAGGGAAAUGAAUAACUAGAGGAAUCCGAAAGUAAGCAGAAUCAAUAUNNNNNNNNNNNNNNNNNNNNNNNNNNNNNNNNNNNNNNNNNNNNNNNNNNNNNNNNNNNNNNNNNNNNNNNNNNNNNNNNNNNNNNNNNNNNNNNNNNNNNNNNNNNNNNNNNNNNNNNNNNNNNNNNNNNCGUCUCGCUAAACCCAAGAGGAAGACGAUCACAUUCAUCACACUCACCUGAAAUAUGGAUUUAUAAGAGAGGGGUGAGUAAUUUGGGGAAAUUACUCAGUGAGAACCAAACCAGACUACCUUCCCACUCAUUUAUUUUCCACCAACAUGUCAAGAAUAAAUCCAACAAGCAACACACAAGCAUCCUAGCGAUGCACAAACAACUAGCCAGCAAUGAUGUCUCCAACCCGCCUAUCACACAAGGCCACACCUCCCAGUCACACAGCUUCACAAUAUUUAGUUCCUCUGUAACACCCCGGUCCUGGGUUCCAAAGGAAACCAGACUAAACCGGCAGUAUUAUCUAACCUAACCAAUAAUUCCUGAAUAAUCCUUAAAUCUUAUUCCAAAUCGGGAUCCUCUAGAGUCGACUUCAAUUCGGUUGAGCGCUGAAUAAAUCCGAAAAUAAUCAGAAAACAAUAUCUAAAAAGAAAAUACAAAAAAAAGUUCUUAAAGCGAUAAAAAUCUUCCUCCAUCUCUAAAAGCACACCACACUAGAGCUACUCGUCUAGUUCCUCCCAGACAUCAUCACAAUCACAUUCAUCACACUCACCCGAAAUAUGGAUUUAAAAGAGAGGGGUGAGUAAUUUGGGGAAAUUACUCAGUGAGAACCAAACCAGGCUCCCUUCCCACUCAUUUAUUUUCCACCAACAUGUCAAGAAUAAAUCCAACAAGCAACACACAAGCAUCCUAGCGAUGCACAAACAACUAGCAAGCAAUGAUGUCUCCAACCCGCCUAUCACACAAGGCCACACCUCCCAGUCACACAGCUUCACAAUAUUCAGUCCCUUUGUAACACCCCGGUCCUGGGUUCCAAAGGAAACCAGACUAAACCGGCUGUAUUAUCUAACCUAACCAAUAAUUCCUGAAUAAUCCUUAAAUCUUAUUCCAAAUCAAACCAAAUCCAGUCUUACAAUAGAAAUGAAUAACUUGAAUAAAUCCCAAAAUAAUCAGAAAACAAUAUCUUAAAAGAAAAUACAAAAAAAAGUUCCUAAAGCGAUAAAAAUCUUCCUCCAUCUCUAAAAGCACACCACACUAGAGCUACUCGUCUAGUUCCUCCCAGACAUCAUCACAAUCACAUUCAUCACACUCACCUGAAAGACGGAUUUAAAAGAGAGGGGUGAGUAAUUUGGGGAAAUUACUCAGUGAGAACCAAACCAGGCUCCCUUCCCACUCAUUUAUUUUCCACCAACAUGUCAAGACUAAAUCCAACAAGCAACACACAAGCAUCCUAGCGAUGCACAAACAACUAGCCAGCAAUGAUGUCUCCAACCCGCCUAUCACACAAGGCCACACCUCCCAGUCACACAGCUUCACAAUAUUUAGUUCCUCUGUAACACCCCGGUCCUGGGUUCCAAAGGAAACCAGACUAAACCGGCAGUAUUAUCUAACCUAACCAAUAAUUCCUGAAUAAUCCUUAAAUCUUAUUCGAAAUCAAACCAAAUCCAGUCUUACAAUAGAAAUGAAUAACUUGAAUAAAUCCGAAAAUAAUCAGAAAACAAUAUCUUAAAAGAAAAUACAAAAAAAAGUUCUUAAAGCGAUAAAAAUCUUCCUCCAUCUCUAAAAGCACACCACACUAGAGCAACUCGUCUAGUUCCUCCCAGACAGCAUCACAAUCACAUUCAUCACACUCACCUGAAAUAUGGAUUUAUAAGAGAGGGUUGAGUAAUUUGGGGAAAUUACUCAGUGAGAACCAAACCAGACU